GAUGAACGCUGGCGGCGUGCCUAAUACAUGCAAGUCGAGCGAACGGACGAGAAGCUUGCUUCUCUGAUGUUAGCGGCGGACGGGUGAGUAACACGUGGAUAACCUACCUAUAAGACUGGGAUAACUUCGGGAAACCGGAGCUAAUACCGGAUGAUAUUUUGAACCGCAUGGUUCAAAAGUGAAAGACGGUCUUGCUGUCACUUAUAGAUGGAUCCGCGCUGCAUUAGCUAGUUGGUAAGGUAACGGCUUACCAAGGCAACGAUGCAUAGCCGACCUGAGAGGGUGAUAGGCCACACUGGGACUGAGACACCGUCCCGACUCCUACGGGAGGCCGCAGUAGGGAAUCUUCCACAAUGGGCGAAAGCCUGACGGAGCAACGCCGCGUGAGUGAUGAAGGUCUUCGGAUCGUAAAACUCUGUUAUUAGGGAAGAACAUAUGUGUAAGUAACUGUGCACAUCUUGACGGUACCUAAUCAGAAAGCCACGGCUAACUACGUG
rnacentral:rRNA from 1 species